rnacentral:rRNA from 1 species
GGCUUAACCUGGGAUGGCAGUGGAAACUAGGGGACUUGAAUCUGGCAGAGGGGGGUGGAAUGCCACGUGUAGCAGUGAAAUGCGUAGAGAUGUGGCGGAACACCGAUGGCGAAGCAGCCCCCUGGGCUGAGAUUGACGCUCAGGCACGAAAGCGUGGGGAGCAAACAGGAUUAGAUACCCUGGUAGUCCACGCCCUAAACGAUGAUCACUAGGUGUUGGGGAAGCGAUUUCUCAGUACCGCAGCUAACGCGUGAAGUGAUCCGCCUGGGGAGUACGGUCGCAAGAUUAAAACUCAAAGGAAUUGACGGGGACCCGCACAAGCGGUGGAUGAUGUGGAUUAAUUCGAUGCAACGCGAAUAACCUUACC